UACGUAGGGGGCAAGCGUUGUCCGGAAUCAUUGGGCGUAAAGAGCGUGUAGGCGGCUCGAUUCGUCCGCUGUAAAAGUCCAGGGCUCAACCCUGGGAUGCCGGUGGAAACUGUCGGGCUAGAGUCCGGGAGAGGCGAGUGGAAUUCCUGGUGUAGCGGUGAAAUGCGCAGAUAUCAGGAGGAACACCAAUGGCGAAGGCAGCUCGCUGGAACGGUACUGACGCUGAGACGCGAAAGCGUGGGGAGCAAACAGG
rnacentral:rRNA from 1 species